rnacentral:piRNA from 1 species
UACCGAGCCACCCUAGUUUGUCUUCUCGG